rnacentral:lncRNA from 1 species
AAAAAGUCUUUCUGUACACAGUGAACUGUACCAAACUGGACGUGUAAAUAGUCUGUAACCUACUCUUGUGCCAGUCAUCGAGUUUUCCCUGAUCAAGUAAGACAGACCCUAAGCUGGAGCCAAGUGGCUGCUUCUGGACUGCGCUCUGUCUUCCAGCUGUGAGCUUGGAUGCCGGUGUCAUGAAGUUAAAGCACAAAGCUUCUGAGUCCCCGUCUGGAGGACAGCUGCCCCGGCAUGCUGCCCAGCUGGCUCUGACAGUGUGAGGAUAGACUCUCACUGACCCUGCGCUUGAGCUGGACAAGCCUGUGACUCCCUUCCAGCAACAGAAUGUGGCCCCCAUGCUGCGUAGUACAGAAUCUUCCAGGCCUCUGUCCUGGCACCCCUGCUGCCUGAAGCACCUUCCCCGAGGAAGAAGCCACCGGUUUGGAGCGGAAGAGGCCAGCCAAGGGGCCGGGGCCUGGGAACGGUGGGUGGCUGUGCUGAAAACCAUCUGAAUCAAUUCAAGUUGAACUUGAACUGCAUUUUAUUCCACUGACAUCAGAAUUGGAUCUCCUCUGGGGUUGUGGGAAGGAUUCAAUAUUUAGAGACAUUAAUUACUUCAGCACCACAUUCUGCCUACUGUACGGUACACAUGGGGGACAGGACUCAAAUUAAACUGGUCCCUGCUCCUGGGGAAGCCACAUUCAAAGAGGAGACAAUUGUGAAUGAAGCUGCCUGGAACAUAAUGGGGCCGUCUGCAGGGGAAGGCAGGACUAGCUCAACCCUAGGUAAUUAAAGGUCUCUGUGAGAUGGGUCUUGAGGGUUGAGUAGGAGCUUAAAAAGCAGUUUGAAGGGAUGAGUCUUUCCAGGAAGCAGGAAUGACCUGUGCGACCCUGAGGGGGUGCAAAGGACAGAGUGUGCUGGAGAAGGGAAGGAGUGCUUUGUCCUUCGUCCUGCCUGGUGGGGCAGGGCCUCCGGGGUACAGACCCCACCACUCGCGUGCACCAGGGGUGACAGCCAGCUCCAUGCAGAUGGCCUCCAAAGCGGUCGCUCCUGGGCUUAGCUUCCCUGAAAUUAGAAGCAGACGCCUGUGCACGUGUAUUAUCAGCUUUCGAACAUUGAAGGAAACAGCUCUUUUGCAAUAACUGGAUUCAUCAUGAUACAGAUUUUCCCUGUGACCUCUUUAUUACUUUUACGCACCACCUUGUAUUAAAAAAAAAAAAAAGAAAAAGUCUCAGCCUUCUACUCCCUGCAGCCUGGUUGACUCAGAUUUCUUUCACUGUUUCUCCUGUACAAACAGGCAAGGGAAUGAACCUCCCCUGCCACGGUUUCCAAGCAUAUUAAAAUAUGGUCACCCCUGCAGAACUCCUAAUGUUCUUGUUUAAUGUGUCAGAAAAGCAAAUGGAAUUUUAUUUUGCUUUGGCACCAGUGGAGAAGAAUAAUCGUGUCCUCAUCAGGAGGGCUGGAAGC